UACGGGGGGAGCAAGCGUUGUUCGGAUUUACUGGGCGUAAAGGGCGCGUAGGCGGUCAGCACAAGUCAGUUGUGAAAUCUCCGGGCUUAACUCGGAAAGGUCAACUGAUACUGUGCGACUAGAGUGCAGAAGGGGCAACUGGAAUUCUCGGUGUAGCGGUGAAAUGCGUAGAUAUCAGGAAGAACACCCGUGGCGAAGGCGGCUCUCUGGGACGGUACUGACGCUGAGGCGCGAAAGCUAGGGGAGCGAACGGG
rnacentral:rRNA from 1 species